CCCCCCUCUCUCUCCUUCUCAGAGUUUUUCUGAAACUCAUCCUUAAUGAUUCCAGAUCUGUGAUCUUUGAUCUCAUCUUCAAUCACAUCUUCUCCUUUCUGUAUUUUAUUUUAUUUUUAUUUGUUUGUGGAAGAUAAAAUUAAAAAGAAAAAGAAAAAUGAACGGCGUCGUUCGGGUAGAUCCGCCUUCUCGAGUCUUCCCCGAACCGAUCGACCACUUCGACCGCCUCCCGGACUCUGUACUCCUCCUAGUAUUCAACAAGAUCGGUGAUGUGAAAGCCUUGGGUCGGUGCUGCGUCGUUUCGCGUCGCUUCCACUCCUUGGUCCCACAGGUCGAUAACGUCGUCGUCCGCGUCGACUGUGUCAUCUCCGACGACGAUUCCUCCUCCUCUUCCUCCGAGAAGUCUCGCUCUCCCUUCUCCAACCUCUUCCGCUACGUCUUCGGCGGCAUCGUCAAGCCCUUUCAGGCUCUCGGCCAGUUGUUAGGUGCCAAGAGGACGCAAUUUCAUCACAAUAAUCAACACCUCACCACCAGCGGCCACGCCCCUGCCGCUUUCUGUGCGUCCUCUAGUUCGGGUUCGGGGACGACCUUGUCGGUUGGUAGCAGCAGCGCCGACGAUGAGGAAAUGGAUCAAGGAGGCGUCACUCACCACUCUCCGACUCAAGUCCUGAAGAAUUUUAACGAGAUUCGGUUUCUCCGGAUUGAGUUGCCCAGCGGAGAGCUCGG
rnacentral:lncRNA from 1 species